rnacentral:rRNA from 1 species
UACGUAGGGUGCGAGCGUUAAUCGGAAUUACUGGGCGUAAAGCGUGCGCAGGCGGUUUGCUAAGACCGAUGUGAAAUCCCCGGGCUCAACCUGGGAACUGCAUUGGUGACUGGCAGGCUAGAGUAUGGCAGAGGGGGGUAGAAUUCCACGUGUAGCAGUGAAAUGCGUAGAGAUGUGGAGGAAUACCGAUGGCGAAGGCAGCCCCCUGGGCCCAAUACUGACGCUCAUGCACGAAAGCGUGGGGAGCAAACGAGGAUUACGAAACCCCGUG